rnacentral:rRNA from 1 species
UGGGGAAUUUUGGACAAUGGGCGCAAGCCUGAUCCAGCCAUGCCGCGUGCAGGAUGAAGGCCUUCGGGUUGUAAACUGCUUUUGUACGGAACGAAAAGACUCUGGUUAAUACCUGGGGUCCAUGACGGUACCGUAAGAAUAAGCACCGGCUAACUACGUGCCAGCAGCCGCGGUAAUACGUAGGGUGCAAGCGUUAAUCGGAAUUACUGGGCGUAAAGCGUGCGCAGGCGGUUAUGCAAGACAGAUGUGAAAUCCCCGGGCUCAACCUGGGAACUGCAUUUGUGACUGCAUAGCUGGAGUGCGGCAGAGGGAGGUGGAAUUCCGCGUGUAGCAGUGAAAUGCGUAGAUAUGCGGAGGAACACCGAUGGCGAAGGCAGCCUCCUGGGCCAGUACUGACGCUCAUGCACGAAAGCGUGGGGAGCAAACA